rnacentral:rRNA from 1 species
GAUGAACGCUAGCGGCAGGCCUAAUACAUGCAAGUCGAACGAUAGUGAGAAGCUUGCUUCUCACGAAAGUGGCGCACGGGUGCGUAACGCGUAUGCAACCUACCUUAAUCAGGGGGAUAGCCCGAAGAAAUUCGGAUUAAAACCGCAUAAAAUCACAGUAUAGCAUUAUACAAUGAUCAAAUAUUUAUAGGAGUAAGAUGGGCAUGCGUGACAUUAGGUAGUUGGCGGGGUAACGUCCCACCAAGACCACGAUGUCUAGGGGAUCGUGAGAGGAUGACCCCCCACACUGGUACUGAGACACGGACCAGACUCCUACGGGAGGCAGCAGUAAGGAAUAUUGGUCAAUGGAGGCAACUCUGAACCAGCCAUGCCGCGUGCAGGAAGACAGCCCUCUGGGUCGUAAACUGCUUUUAUUCGGGAAUAAACCUAUCUACGUGUAGAUAGCUGAAUGUACCGAAGGAAUAAGGAUCGGCUAACUCCGUGCCAGCCGCCGCUGUAA